rnacentral:rRNA from 1 species
UGGGGAAUAUUGCACAAUAGAGGGAACUCUGAUGCAGCGACGCCGCGUGAACGAAGAAGGCUUUCGAGUCGUAAAGUUCUUUUAUAUGGGAAGAUAAUGACGGUACCAUAAGAAAAAGCCCCGGCUAACUACGUACCAGCAGCCGCGGUAAUACGUAGGGGGCUAGCGUUGUCCGGAAUCACUGGGCGUAAAGGGUUCGCAGGCGGAAAUGCAAGUCAGGUGUAAAAGGCAGUAGCUUAACUACUGUAAGCAUUUGAAACUGCAUAUCUUGAGAAGAGUAGAGGUAAGUGGAAUUUUUAGUGUAGCGGUGAAAUGCGUAGAUAUUAAAAAGAAUACCGGUGGCGAAGGCGACUUACUGGGCUCAUUCUGACGCUGAGGAACGAAAGCGUGGGUAGCAAACAGG